rnacentral:rRNA from 1 species
GAAUAUUUGACAAUGGGCGAAAGCCUGAUCCAGCCAUGCCGCGUGUGUGAAGAAGGUCUUCGGAUUGUAAAGCACUUUACGUUGGGAGGAAGGGCAGUAGGCGAUUACCUUGCUGUUGUGACGCUACCGCACGAAUCAGCACCGGCCGACACUGUGCCAGCAGCGGCGGGAAUACAGAGGGGGCAAGCGUUAAUCGGAAUUACUGGGCGUAAAGCGCGCGUAGGUGGUUCGUUAAGUUGGAUGUGAAAGCCCCGGGCGCAACCUGGGAACUGCAUCCAAAACUGGCGAGCUAGAGUAGGGCAGAGGGUGGUGGAAUUUCCUGUGUAGCGGUGAAAUGCGUAGAUAUAGGAAGGAACACCAGUGGCGAAGGCGACCACCUGGGCUCAUACUGACACUGAGGUGCGAAAGCGUGGGGAGCAAACAG